rnacentral:rRNA from 1 species
CCUACGGGAGGCAGCAGUGGGGAAUAUUGCACAAUGGGGGAAACCCUGAUGCAGCGACGCCGCGUGAGUGAAGAAGUAAUUCGUUAUGUAAAGCUCUAUCAGCAGGGAAGAAAAUGACGGUACCUGAGUAAGAAGCCCCGGCUAACCACGUGCCAGCAGCCGCGGUAAUACGUAGGGGGCAAGCGUUAUCCGGAUUUACUGGGUGGAAAGGGAGCGGAGACGGCAGUGCAAGUCUGGAGUGAAAGGCGGGGGCUCAACCCCCGGACUGCUCUGGAAACUGUACGGCUGGAGUGCAGGAGAGGUAAGUGGAAUUCCUAGUGUAGCGGUGAAAUGCGUAGAUAUUAGGAGGAACACCAGUGGCGAAGGCGGCUUACUGGACUGUAACUGACGUUGAGGCUCGAAAGCGUGGGGAGCAAACAGGAUUAGAUACCCCUGUAGUC